CCUGAUGGACAUGCCGUCCAUCACGUAGUCAUUCAAGGCCUUGUCUACCGUCCCUCCGGUAGCUCUGAGCGCCAACAAUCGCCGGUACAGCCGCAGCGGAUUUCCCGAUGAUCUUUGUACCUUAUACGAAGAAUCCGGAGCUGAGGCCGACGCCUCUUUCGCCGUCGAGAGCUGCCUCCGGGGGCAUCUGCCAUUUCCGAUCAGUCGAGCAGGGGUUCUCCACAUAUUUUCUGUGGUUUAGGGUUUUAGAGCUUUUUGACUGAACUUGUCACUCUGAUUUCCUGUUAUUUUAGCCCGUGCAGAAGCCACGGAGGGAAACGGAACGAUGCCGUUUAGUUUUCUUGCCG
rnacentral:lncRNA from 1 species